CAGACGUACUACGCAGAACAUGAACUGAGGAGGCGUUCGUUGUACCUUUGUGCAAGCUAUCCAAACGCGAAAAUCCCAUAAAUGGAUCGGGGGUCGAAGCGGCGGCAGGUGAAGCCUUUGGCUGACUCCUUGCUGGAUGCUCUGGAUUAUGACAGCUCAGAUGACAGUGAUUUUGAAGUUGGAGAUGCGUCAGAUUAGACCUCCUGCAAUGCAUUACUAACACUGGAGGCACACAGGCGAUGGUUCCAUAUCACCAUGAC